rnacentral:rRNA from 1 species
CGCGGCGAUUCUAUUGAGUUUGAUCCUGGCUCAAGACGAACGCUGGCGGCGUGCCUAACACAUGCAAGUCGAACGAAGCUUGACGAAUGAUUUCUUCGGAAUGAAAUCUGAUAUGACUGAGUGGCGGACGGGUGAGUAACGCGUGAGCAACCUGCCCUUCGGAGGGGGAUAGUGUCUGGAAACGGACAGUAAUACCGCAUAACGUAUUUUUACCGCAUGAUAGAAAUACCAAAACUGAGGUGCCGAAGGAUGGGCUCGCGUUGGAUUAGAUAGUUGGUGGGGUAACGGCCUACCAAGUCGACGAUCCAUAGCCGGACUGAGAGGUUGAACGGCCACAUUGGGACUGAGACACGGCCCAGACUCCUACGGGAGGCAGCAGUGGGGAAUAUUGCACAAUGGGGGAAACCCUGAUGCAGCAACGCCGCGUGAAGGAAGACGGUUUUCGGAUUGUAAACUUCUGUUCUUAGUGAAGAAGAAUGACGGUAGCUAAAGAGCAAGCCACGGCUAACUACGUGCCAGCAGCCGCGGUAAUACGUAAGUGGCAAGCGUUGUCCGGAAUUACUGGGUGUAAAGGGAGCGCAGGCGGGAAGCCAAGUCAGCUGUGAUAACUACGGGCUUAACUUGUAGACUGCAGUUGAAACUGGUUUUCUUGAGUGNAAUAAAGGUUGGCGGAUUUCCNAAUGUUACGGUGAAAUGCGUAGAUAUUCGGAAGGACACCGGUGGGCGAAGGCGGCCAACUGGGCCUUUAACUGACGCUGAAGCUCGAAAGUGUGGGGGAGCAAACAGGAUUAAUUACCCUGGUAGUCCACCCUGUAAACGAUGAUACCAGGGGGGGGGGGGGGCCGAACCCCUUCCGGGCCCCAGCUAAGCCAUAAGUUUUCCCCCGG